CUAUUAUAUUUAACAACCUGGUAGUAUUUAUUUUAAAACCUAUAUAGUUUGGCGGCAUUAUAUCUUAUUAGAGGAAUAUGUCUUUUGAUCGAUACCACCCGAUAUAUCUCACUUAUUUAAAAAUUUUAUAUACCGCCGUAUAAAUUUAGCUUAAAAUCUUAAAUUAUAAUAACAUUAUAAAAAAAUAGGUAAAGGUGUAGACUACAAAUAAGUCAAGAUGUAUUACAUUAAACUUAAUUUAAGGAAAAUAAACAAAAGAAUAUUAGUAAAUAGGAUUUAAUAGUAAUAUUAUAAUUAAUAAUAAUAAUAAUAAAAUAUGAAUAAGAAAAUAAAUGUGCACACAUC
rnacentral:rRNA from 1 species